rnacentral:rRNA from 1 species
UGGCUCAGAACGAACGCUGGCGGCAGGCUUAACACAUGCAAGUCGAGCGGGUGUAGCAAUACAUCAGCGGCAGACGGGUGAGUAACGCGUGGGAACGUACCUUUUGGUCCGGAACAACCCAGGGAAACUUGGGCUAAUACCGGAUAAGCCCUUACGGGGAAAGAUUUAUCGCCGAAAGAUCGGCCCGCGUCUGAUUAGCUAGUUGGUGAGGUAAUGGCUCACCAAGGCGGCGAACAGUAGCUGGUCUGAGAGGAUGAUCAGCCACAUUGGGAUUGAUCUUCGGCCCAGGAUCCUACGGGAGGCAGC